GGUCGAAUGGUGUAGUUGGUUAUCACGUCAGUCUAACACACUGAAGGUCUCCAGUUCGAACCUGGAUUCGAUCA
rnacentral:tRNA from 3 species